rnacentral:rRNA from 2 species
UGAACCACCUGAUCCCUUCCCGAACUCAGAAGUGAAACCUCUUAGCGCUGAUGGUAGUGUGGGGUUACCCAUGUGAGAGUAAGUCAUCGCCAGCUC